GCCACCCAACCCCAUCAACCCCAUCUCCUGGAAAUUGUGGAACUCCACCGAGCGUGCCCACUCCAUCAAGACCACCAAGUGAUCCUACUCCAACACCAUACACGCCUACACCAUCAACACCACCUAGUGUGCCUACUCCAUCAACACCUUCAAAUCCUCCUCCCAGCGGUGGUGGAUACUACCCCACUCCUCCAAGCACUGGUGGUAGUCCUCCAACACCUGUCAUUGAGACCCCACCGACACCCAUCACUCCAACUCCAAGUACCCCUUACAUUCCCUCGCCUCCGUUCAUUCCUGAUCCAAAUUCACCAUUCACAUGCACGUAAGCUUCUUACACUAAUUUAUUUUUGAUAAUGCAGUAACCAAAU
rnacentral:lncRNA from 1 species